rnacentral:rRNA from 1 species
GACGAACGCUGGCGGCGUGCCUAAUACAUGCAAGUCGAGCGCAGGAAACUGACGGAACUCUUCGGAGGGAAGGCAGUGGAAUGAGCGGCGGACGGGUGAGUAACACGUAAGGAACCUGCCUCAAGGAUUGGGAUGACUCCGAGAAAUCGGAGCUAAUACCGGAUAGUUCAACGGACCGCAUGGCCCGUUGAUGAAAGGCGCUCCGGCGUCACCUUGAGAUGGCCUUGCGGUGCAUUAGCUAGUUGGUGGGGUAACGGCUCACCAAGGCGACGAUGCAUAGCCGACCUGAGAGGGUGAUCGGCCACACUGGGACUGAGACACGGCCCAGACUCCUACGGGAGGCAGCAGUAGGGAAUCUUCCACAAUGGACGAAAGUCUGAUGGAGCAACGCCGCGUGAGUGAUGAAGGUUUUCGGAUCGUAAAACUCUGUUGUAAGGGAAGAACACGUACGAGAGGAAAUGCUCGUACCUUGACGGUACCUUACGAGAAAGCCACGGCUAACUACGUGCCAGCCGCCGCCGUAA